UCACCCUAGUUUUCCUCAGAGCGAAUAAAACCUUUCGCCUUUUACUACAGAUUUCCGUGAAGGGAGCACUCAAAUGAGACUAUUCUCAAUUUUUUGUGAGCCUAGCAUUCACUUGCUGGGCG